GUUUCUGUGGCGCAAUCGGUUAGCGCGUUCGGCUGUUAACCAAAAGGUUGGUGGUUCAAACCCACAAAGGGACG
rnacentral:tRNA from 1 species